rnacentral:lncRNA from 1 species
UGGUGUAGUUGGAGGACGCACUGGUGGAGUCACGGGUGGUGUGUUUGGUGGAACCGUUGGUGGAGUUUGUGGUGGUGUGUUUGGAGGAGUUUCCGGUGGUGUGUUUGGAGGUGUCUGUGGAGGUGUGUUUGGUGGAAGCGUUGGUGGAAUUUGUGGUGGUGUGUUUGGUGGAAGCGUUGGUGGAGAUUGUGGUGGUGUGUUUGGAAGAGCUUCCGGUGGUGUGUUUGGUGGAAGCGUUGGUAGAGUCUCUGGUGGUGAGUUUGGAGGAGUUUGCGGUGGUGUCUCCGGUGGUGUGUUUGGUGGAAGCGUUGGUGGAAUCUGUGGUGAUUGGUUUGGAGGAGUUCCCGGUGGUGUGUUUGGAAGUGUCUCCGGUGGUGUGUUUGGAGGCGUUUCCGGUGGAGUGUUUGGAGGACUUUGUGGGGGUGUGUUUGGUGGAGUUUCCGGUUGUGUGGUUGGAGGAGUUUCCGGGGGUGUGUUUGGAGGAGUUUCUGGUGGUGUGGUUGGAGGUGUCUUUGGUGUGUUUGGAGGAGUUCCCGGUGGUGUGUUUGGAGGUGUUUCUGGUGGAGUAUUUGGAGGACUUUGUGGGGGGGUGUUUGGUGGAGUUUCUGGUGGUGUGAUUGGAGGAGUUUCUGGUGGUGUGGUUGGAGGUGUCUCCGGUGGUGUGUUUGGAGGAGUUCCUGGUGGUGUGUUUGGAAGUGUCUCUGGUGGUGUGUUUGGAGGAGUUCCCGGUGGUGUGUUUGGAGGUGUUUCUGGUGGAGUAUUUGGAGGACUUUGUGGGGGGGUGUUUGGUGGAGUUUCUGGUGGUGUGAUUGGAGGAGUUUCUGGUGGUGUUGUUGGAGGUGUCUCCGGUGGUGUGUUUGGAGGAGUUCCUGGUGGUGUGUUUGGAAGUGUCUCCGGUGGUGUGUUUGGAGGAGUUCCCGGUGGUGUGUUUGGAGGUGUUUCUGGUGGAGUAUUUGGAGGACUUUGUGGGGGUGUGUUUGGUGGAAUUUCCGGUGGUGUGGUUGGAGAAGUUUCCGGUGGUGUGUUUGGAGAAGUUUCUGGUGGUGUGGUUGGAGGUGUCUCCGGUGGUGUGGUUGGAGGUGUCUCCGGUGGUGUGUUUGGAGGAGUUCCCGGUGGUGUGUUUGGAGGUAUUUCCGGUGGAGUGUUUGGAGGACUUUCUGGGGGCGUGUUUGGUGGAGUUUCUGGUGGUGUUGUUGGAGGUGUCUCCGGUGGCGUGUUUGGUGGAAGCGUUGGUGGAGUCUGUGGUGGUGUGUUAGGAGGUAUUUCCGGUGGUAUGGUCGGAGGUGUCUGUGGUGGUAGGGUUGGUGGACCUGUUGGUAAAACUUCCGUAG